UUUCAAUCUGAAACCAUGCUUGAGGCCCACAAGACUGGUGCAAUUACAAUAAGAAUACAGUUCUGCAUCCACCAUGCUUAUCAUUAUUAGUACCUAUAAAGAGAGAGAGAGAGAGAGAGAGAGAGAGAGAGAGAGAGAGAGAGAGAGAGAGAGAGAGAGAACAUAUCCUUGCCUUAAUGUUUAUAAUGGAGAGAGAUGAAGUUAUUGAACAUCACAGGAGAUCCCCUAACCUUUCCAGGUGCAUGAUGUCCCCUUCAUGCUUUCCAGUGCAGGGGGAAAUGGAGUACACUCGCCUCCACGGCUGCGGCCGCAGCAAGAGAAGCCCGCGAUGGCGAAACUUGCUGCGGAGGUUGCUGAGUGAUAGGGGCAGAAGCAGAAACAUGAACAAGUAAAUAGACGACAUAUUCAAGCCAUGUUUCAUGAUGUGAGAUGGGAUCGCUUACAUGAGUGAUGUUGUUGUGUGCAGCUGCACUAGCUAGAUGUGUAAGUACAGAUUUUUUAUUAAUCAUUGUAUUGUAAAUAUUUCAGAUCUAUAUGUGUAAGCAUAUAUAUAUAUAUGCAAAUUUGAAUCUUCUCUGUUUUCCUUUUUCAAUUUCUGAUGCUCAAUCGUGAGGAGGUUUUCUGUAAUGCGGAAUGGAUGUAUGUUGUGAGAUUAAUUCGGGAUGUGAGUGGCGUCCGUACACUGUUCUAACGGUACUCGUAUUCCGUAUUAAUCUCGUAACAAAAUUUCAAUAAGAAGAUAAAUUAAUGCAUAGCUUUAA